rnacentral:tRNA from 1 species
GAACCCGUAGCUCAGUUGGUUAGAGCGCUACAUUGACAUUGUAGAGGUCCCCAGUUCGAAUCUGGGCGGGUUCACAA